rnacentral:rRNA from 1 species
UACAGAGGUCCCAAGCGUUGUUCGGAUUCACUGGGCGUAAAGGGUGCGUAGGUGGUCGGGUAAGUCUGAUGUGAAAUCUCCAAGCUCAACUUGGAAACUGCAUCGGAUACUAUUCGGCUGGAGGGUUGGAGGGGGGACUGGAAUGCUUGGUGUAGCAGUGAAAUGCGCAGAUAUCAGGAGGAACACCGGUGGCGAAGGCGGAUCUCUGGGCCGUAACUGACGCUGAGGAGCGAAAGCAUGGGUAGCGAACAGG